CUAAAAAAGAACUAAAAAAAUCAACUUGCUCGUUUCUUUUUACUGUUUACACCUACAUGCGCUGGUGUCCAAAGGAAUUGUACUUCUUUGCCUAGAUUCUUCAGUUGAAACCAACGCCUCUUGAUGCUGUAUAUAAUGUAAUUCGUAUUACAAGCCAAGUUAUUAUUCUGUAAGGCACGUAAAACACUCAUGCUGUCGCGUUAUAAUGAGCCAACGUUAAUCAUUUUCUUGAUGAAUAUAUUGCAAUGUAAAUAAUAAUGCCAAAGCCUCAGCAGAAAAAAUCCUCAACUCAGACGGAAGUUUGCGACCAAAUCCAAAACGUAAAUGAGAAAUAUAGAAAGCCAUUGAUACUUUUCUCGACUUGGAACCAUCAGUAAAUAUUUUUCUAUAUUCAUUGUAUUCAUCUAAAACACUGUUUACCUCUUCUUUAUGAUUCAUAUUAUUAUUUAUAAUUGGUAUGGAAGUAAAUUUACUUUCAUAACUGUCCAUAUAGCAAGCCAAAUUCUCAGGUCUAUGAAUUUUAUAUUUUUGAUCAAGUUAAAUUAUAAAUGAAAAAUCAUGAAGUACAUUAGUAGUGGGAACAUAGGGACACUGACUAUAAAAAUGUUUUAAUUUUCGCAAUAAUAAAUGAUUAGCCAUAGAUAAUAAUUUAAGAAGAAAACAAUAUUUUAGAUACUUAAAUCUAUAUGAUAAAGGAGCAGUAUUGCACUCUAUUUGUAAUGAAUUUAUAGGAGUUGUCCUCAUAGCACCAGUAACUAAUCUAAGAUUUUUAAUUUGCAGAACAUCCAAUUUCUUAACAAGCUUUUCAUUGGAUGCGAAACAUAAAAAACUAUAUUCGAAAUGACUGUGGACAAGUGAUUUAUACAACAUGAGCAAAAUCUUUGGGUCAGCACCCUAAGACGUUCUUGCAAGGGAUUUUAAAAUAUUAAAUGCCUUACCUGCCCUUCCCAUACUGCAAUCAACAUAUUUCUUCCAUGAAAGAUUUUUAGUAAAAACUAUCCCUAAAAAUUUUACUUCUGACACUUGUGGAAUUUCUCUCUGAUCAUAAAACAAUUUGAUUUUUAUAGGAUGAGUUUUAUGAAAUACUAUCAUUUUAGUUUUGUCGAUAUUGAUAUCAAGAUUGAGAUAUGUAAAGUAAUUAUGAAGUUUGGUCAAAGUUGCACUAAGACUAUUAACUAUAGUAUUUAUAUUACAGCCCAAUGUAUAAAUAACAAGAUCAUCAGCAAAUUGCAAAUUUCUAACAUCCAAACCCAAUAUUAAAUUAAGCCUAUAAAUAUAUAAUAUGAAUAUUAAAGGACUUAAAAUUCCUCCUUGACACACACCUUUGAAUGAUGCUCUAGGUCCAAUAAGUUGAUUUUGGAAUUUCACAUACACUACUCUACCAUGUAAAAAAUUAAAAAUCCACUUCACAAUUUUUUCAGGAAUACCAAUGGUCAAUAAUUCAGAAGCUAAUAUGUAAUGAUUGACAUUAUUAAAUGCUCCAACAAUGGCAAAGAAAAUACCUAUUAGAACUUCAUUGUUCUUGAAUGCAUUUAAAAUAUCAAAAUGUAAAUGAGAAAUACUUUCAUGACAAGAGCGGCCCUUGCGGAAUCCAAAUUGGUUUGAUGGACUUUAUAUGGGACACCAUCGAGGCCAAAGGCUGUAUCUCGUCUAGGAAAAAUGGCUGCAUUUAACUCGGCAAAAGAAAAUGAUUUUGUAAGAUAAUCAAAACUGGAAGCAGGAAUAAAUUUAUUUUUUAAGUCUAAUUCAGCCUCAAUAAUGGAAGAAAAAAUUCGAACAAAAACUUACUACAGGUAAAUGAUAGCUUCCUAGAGGCUCAUCAUGCACGGACCAAUCACAAGAAACUGCAACAUCAGAAGAAACUAUUGUAAGAGCAAGAGCAUUUUGUCGCCAUUUAUGAAAACCUACUGUUGUCAUCUGAAAAAUUAUCAUCAAUACAUUCUAAAACAUCAGAUCCACGAGUAUCAGAAGUCAUGCAGCCCCAACUAUGGUGCAAGGCAUUAAAGUCUCCAGCAAUAAGCAAGGGCUCAGCAGGCAUUAGUUGGAGCUGUCGUGCAAUUCUUAUAACUGAUUGCCAGCACAAAUGGAACAUUAUUCAGAUUUUUUACAAAAUUUUGCUAAGUGGCCGUACCGGAGACAGCAUAGACACUGUUUAACUGGAGGAAUGUAUGGUGUAACCUCAAAGCGCCAGCUAUUGAGGUCAACUCUUUCUGAUUAUUAGCAAGAAACAUCAUAUCUCUAUCCCCCAGCGGUUUGUUCUUUGAAAGGUUUUGUACUUAUCCACGGCAUCGACAGAUUUGUGAGAUGAAGAAUCUGACUCCUCGAACUCCGCUUCAUCAAACCCUGCCUCAGCUUUUUUCUAACGUUUCCUUUUCCCCCAUCUUGGACAAAUUCCUUCUUCUAGUUAUAAAUAUGUAUCAAGAUAUAAAUAUGUUAUAGUUAUGUACUCUUAAAUCGUGUUAAAAUUUUUAUUAAUAAAUUUAAAAAUUGCGCCAAUUUGUUUUAGAGGUUCCCGCGCUUUCCUUCCAUAGAUCACAAACAAAUUAGAAUAUUAUAUAGAAUUAAUUAGCUAAGAUACAAAAACUAUGCUGCAAAAUUAUUUACAUUUUUAUUUAUAUUUCUUUUUUUGUUGUUAGAAUACUGUUAUACAUUUCUUGUAAUUAAUUUGAUGUUGUGUUUGACAUCUUUGUCCUGAUUAGUUGAGAAAUGAUACUCUUAUGACUAAUGUCCCUGACUAAUCAGGUAGAAAAGUAAUGUACUUACCUAGAAAUAGCGGGAAAAGAGAACAUAGAUUUUCUGAUAACUUUCAAUACUAAGUACUUAGUGUUGAUUUUGGUAACACUAAACGGCACUUUGCAGACAACGCAAAUUAGCAUUUUAAUCGGGUAUCUGAAAAAGUAUCACAGCCACACAAACUGAAUAAUGUUUCUGUUUUUAGUACUUAUUCUUAGGGUCGAGGAAGCGUCGUUUGACUUCUCUAAAGUUUUGAGCGCAUUCUUUAUGAAUUAUCGCUCACUUUAACGGUGAAGGAAAAUAAUGAACUUUGUAAAAUAUGAUGGAUGUUUGCAGGCAAAUUAAGCUCAGUAUGUAACAUUAUCGAAAAGAAUAAUAUUUUAAUACUUACUAUUUGUUUUACAGACUUUAAUCGACAAUUGAUGAAAAAAAAGCAUUGAGUUUAUUUCUAGAUUCCUUCUUCACCUAGUCAUCGCUUAAGUAGCUAGUGACUGCCUGGUAGGUUAGCUAGGUUAGGGCUUUUAUCGUC